ACAAAUGCUGAACCCUCCCUUUGUGCCAGUGAAAUACUGAUGCCAGUGAAAUUUUGAUGCUUUCUUUUUUCAUCCUCUCAACGUCAUGAUGAAGUAAGCACUCCGAUCGCUCCAGGUUUCAGAGAGAAACUGAGGCUUUAAAAUGUUGGGUCUUAGGAGUUCUCAUCUUGGCUCAGCAGAAACGAAUCUGACUAGUAUCCAUGAGGAUGUGAGUUCCAUCCCUGGCCCUGCUCAGGGGGUUAAAGAUCCCGCGUUACUGUGAGCUGUGGUGCAGGUUGCAGACUCGGCUCAGGUUUGGUGUUGCUGUGGCUGUGGCGUAGGCCAGCGGCUACAGCUCCAAUUCGACCCCUAGCCUGGGAGCCUCCAUAUGCCGUGGGUGUGGCCCUAAAAAGACAANAAAAAAAAAAAAAGUGGGGUCUUGGCCUGAAGUCACAAAGGUGCUAAGUGGCUUUGAAUCCAGGCCUAUCAGUUUCCAAAGCUUGAAUUACCCACCAUUACUUUAAUGUGCAUGUAUGCAUGAAUAAAUCAUGGCUCCCAAACUCUGGGAAGUGAACCUCACACAAGACCACAGCAGUGUUCCCUCCUGGCCAGGGAUGUUUUCCGAUCACUUACUGCUCUAACUGUAUAUGAAAUAUCCCUCUGUCCAUUGUUCCCCUGGCAGAGUCAGAGAGUAUCCCCCUGGAGGAUCCAAAGACGAAGGCUGAUAGUUGAGGGUGUAGAUUAGCCCCUAGUCUGAGAGCUACUGGCUGCAAGAAUCCCUGGUGAAUCCCAGCAUAACACCAAUGGGAGAAGUCUUGAGACAUCAGGCCAAGUAGAAGAGAGGGCAAUAGACAGGAACUUGGGACCUGAGAGAGUCGUGAGUCAGCAGCGUAUGGUGGCUGCCAAAAGAAAGAAUGUAAACUCUGGUUGUAUCACUAGGAGGGUAGUGUCAAAUAACAAGGUGACAUUGCACUUCCUCCUUGGUCAGCCUGGAGCUGGACUGCAAGGUUAAGGUCUGGUUCCACAUUUUUAGAUUAUCAUAGUCAAACUGGAACUUGUUCAAAAGCACGCAGAACCAGGACACAAAAGGGAAUGGCGUUGUCAUCCUGGUAAGCGGAAGGACCUCAUUUCUUUUCCGGAGGAAGAGAAGAGGUGAGGAAGUUGGGAGAGUAGGCCUACCAGCCCCCUCUGCUACAUGCCACGCUCGGGCUAGAUGCUUUUUUCUAGAGGUUUUCUGGUAGAUUUCUUCUGCCUGACCCACCGUGGAAAAGGGGACUCAAGCAAAGAUAUAAUAGGAAGCUACAUUUGGACUCAUGCUCGAUGGUCUUUCUACCAGUAAAAAAGAAGGAAGUAAUUUUGAAGAGCAAAAGAAACCUCCCAUCUUUCUUUGUGUGACCUCUUGCGAGUUACCCAGCUUUCAGAGCCCCAGUUUCCCAUCUGAAGGAUGCCCAUGGGGUCCAUGAGGAUCCAAUAGCCUGUGGGCUAUGGGAGCAGUGCAGUGGGAUGGUCACACACAUGGCCCCAGGACUCAGACUGCUGGGACUUGAACCUCAGUGCAGGGUGACCUUUGAUUUAUUUUGCCUUUUCAGUACUUCAGAGUUCCCGUCGUGGUGCAGUAGUUAACGAAUCUGACUAGGAACCAUGAGGUUUCGGGUUCGGUCCCUGCCCUUGCUCAGUGGGUUAACGAUCCGGCGUUUCCGUGAGCUGUGGUGUAUGUUGCAGAGGCGGCCCGGAUCCCGCGUUGCUGUGGCUCUGGUGUAGGCCGGUGGCUACAGCUCCGGUUGGACACCUAGCCUGGGAACCUCCAUAUGCCGAGGGAGCCGCCCAAGAAAUAGCAACAACAACAACAACAAC
rnacentral:lncRNA from 1 species